UCCCUGGUGGCUCAGACGGUAAAGAAUCUGCCUGCAAAGCAGGAGACCUGGGUUUGAUCCCUGGGUUGGGAA
rnacentral:tRNA from 1 species